rnacentral:rRNA from 1 species
GAUGAACGCUGGCGGCGUGCCUAAUACAUGCAAGUCGAGCGAACGGACGAGAAGCUUGCUUCUCUGAUGUUAGCGGCGGACGGGUGAGUAACACGUGGAUAACCUACCUAUAAGACUGGGAUAACUUCGGGAAACCGGAGCUAAUACCGGAUGAUAUUUUGAACCGCAUGGUUCAAAAGUGAAAGACGGUCUUGCUGUCACUUAUUGAUGGAUCCGCGCUGCAUUAGCUAGUUGGCAAGGUAACGGCUUACCAAGGCAACGAUGCAUAGCCGACCUGAGAGGGUGAUCGGCCACACUGGAACUGAGACACGGUCCAGACUCCUACGGGAGGCAGCAGUAGGGAAUCUUCCGCAAUGGGCGAAAGCCUGACGGAGCAACGCCGCGUGAGUGAUGAAGGUCUUCGGAUCGUAAAACUCUGUUAUUAGGGAAGAACAUAUGUGUAAGUAACUGUGCACAUCUUGACGGUACCUAAUCAGAAAGCCACGGCUAACUACGUG